GGAGCAGACAGCCUGACAAGAUCACAGACGGUUUGUCCUACAAGUCUGACACCUGCGCUGCCUUGACAUCAAACUGAUGUGCAACAAGUGUUCAUCUUCACUAACCUUGCAGAUCUUGCUCUCCUCGGUUUCUGCUUUGGACUUUCCUGCCGGCAUCUUUUCCUGCUGGUAGUCCGACCUGACUGAAAGCUGGCAGUUGAGCGCCGGGGCUCCGUCUUUUGCCCUGAGUUCCUGCUGCCGGGCCAUGAAGCCCUGCGAGGCGGCUGCUCUGACAGCACUGGGGAUAGGGAGGGCAGUGUGCACCGACUUGGUGCCCACUGUGGAGGGUUGCCUUAACUUGGAAGCCACUCCAACUACAGGCAUUGUACUUCCCAGGCAACAGCAGUGUGGUGGGAGAAAAAGUUCAAAGAAAACUCCAAAAAAAAGGAAGGCAAAUCUGCUGGGUCCUCCUCUAAAGCCUGGCAGAAAAAUCUGAGCCAAAGCAAAAGAGAACCUGCAGCUGCCUCUCAGACUGAGAGGAAAGCAACUGCGCUCAUUCUGUGGCCUUCAGUAAGGAGAACUCCCAGAAACUGAGAGGGCUUCUCCUUCCUCCUGCUCACUCCCUCCUCCUUCUCCUCCCACAUGCAGCCACGGCUCCCUCCCCUUCCCUCCUGUCAGAAAUGCACCACGAGAGAGCAGAGCGAAGGGGCGUGAACUCCUCUGGAAGGUACAACAGCCACCAUCCGGAAAAACUGAUUACGGAGACUCAGCUGAUGGAAAAGGCUGAACUCAAGAACCGAACUGCGAUUGUUACAGCACUUCGCUAUGGGAGUACAUGUCUAUUGGGACCAAUGCCGGCCCUGGCCUCUCUACAGGUUCUGAAGGAGGUGAGGCAGAAGAAAUUGAUGAUAGACACUCAAUAACUUUGCAGAGGUGGAGAAAAUUCCUAGUUUCCAGCUGAUGUUACAUAACUUUCACUGUAAAUGCUACUAGAGAAUAAAGUAGAGUUCUUCACUUGGGACACGAUCCUGCAGACACACUUUCUACAAAAGUCAUGUUCAACAUGCUAUUCACUUGUUUGAUUGCAAAGUAUACAGGAAAACCUUUAUGAUUCUCAUGUAUUCUCAUGAGUUCCUGAUGGAGAGAACGAGAUCCACAAAGCAAUCAAUUGAAAUAAGCAGCCUAUAGAUUGCUUAGCUGGCCCUAAAAUAUUGGUUAUCAUCUGAAUAAGGAGAGUAGAUGUGACAUGAGUCGGAAUAAAAUCAGUUAGAUGUGUUGGUUUACACUUUAGGCCCCCGCCACCUGGUUUCCCUAGGAGAUAGGAUACCUUGGAUCUAACAGGGAUGGAUGAACGAAUGGACAACUAGACAAAUUCAUUGAACACCUGGAUAAUUAGCAUUAUAUUUAAUAAAGAUUUGUUGGUUCCA